UUUGUCUAAAAUAGAGAAAGAAAAAUAAUAUAAUCGGUACAGAAGACGUAAAUUUGUGUACAACUUCUCAAAAAUGAUAACCUUUUAGCUUCUAAUUUGUAUUUUACCAAAAGUUUUCAGGGAUGAUGCGAAUAUUCGGUAUCCGGUACAUAGGGCUACCCCGCUUGCAACUCCUAGCAUGUACAAAGACCGCGCUAUUCUGCAGGGCGCCGCGAGCGCACAGAGCUUGUGGGGAGUAACAGUAGAAAAGUAAUAGAAGAAACAACUUUGUGUAUUGGACUCAAGGAUUAUUUUUGUCUGUUAAAAUAUGACACAUCUUGUAGCAGGGUUUAUAUGGCUACCGCGCUUGCAACUCCUAGUCCGUGCAAAGUCCGUGCUGUUCUGCAGGGCGCCGUGAGCGCGCAGAGAUUGUGGGGAGUAACAGUAGAAAAGUAAUAAAAGAAACAAGUCUGUGUGUUGGACUCAAGAAUUAUCUUUGUCUGUUAAAAUAUG